rnacentral:rRNA from 1 species
AAAUCAGUUAUCGUUUAUUUGAUAGUACCUUACUACUUGGAUAACCGUGGUAAUUCUAGAGCUAAUACAUGCUGAAAACCCCAACUUCGGGAGGGGUGUAUUUAUUAGAUAAAAAACCAACGCCCUUCGGGGCUUCUUGGUGAUUCAUGAUAACUUCACGGAUCGCAUGGCCUUGCGCCGGCGACGGUUCAUUCAAAUUUCUGCCCUAUCAACUUUCGAUGGUAAGGUAUUGGCUUACCAUGGUUUCAACGGGUAACGGGGAAUUAGGGUUCGAUUCCGGAGAGGGAGCCUGAGAAACGGCUACCACAUCCAAGGAAGGCAGCAGGCGCGCAAAUUACCCAAUCCCGACACGGGGAGGUAGUGACAAUAAAUACUGAUACAGGGCUCUUUUGGGUCUUGUAAUUGGAAUGAGUACAAUUUAAACCUCUUAACGAGGAACAAUUGGAGGGCAAGUCUGGUGCCAGCAGCCGCGGUAAUUCCAGCUCCAAUAGCGUAUAUUAAAGUUGUUGCAGUUAAAAAGCUCGUAGUUGAAACUUGGGCCUGGCUGGCAGGUCCGCCUCACCGCGUGUACUUGUCCGGCCGGGCCUUUCCUUCUGGAGAACCUCAUGCCCUUCACUGGGUGUGUUGGGGAACCAGGACUUUUACUUUGAAAAAAUUAGAGUGUUCAAAGCAGGCCUUUGCUCGAAUACGUUAGCAUGGAAUAAUAGAAUAGGACGUGCGGUCCUAUUUUGUUGGUUUCUAGGACCGCCGUAAUGAUUAAUAGGGACAGUCGGGGGCAUCAGUAUUCAAUUGUCAGAGGUGAAAUUCUUGGAUUUAUUGAAGACUAACUACUGCGAAAGCAUUUGCCAAGGAUGUUUUCAUUAAUCAGUGAACGAAAGUUAGGGGAUCGAAGACGAUCAGAUACCGUCGUAGUCUUAACCGUAAACUAUGCCGACUAGGGAUCGGGCGA